GGGGACGUAGCUCAGAUGGUAGAGCGCUCGCUUAACAUGCGAGAGGUACGGGGAUCGAUACGUUGCAUCUCUA
rfam:Ipomoea nil DNA, scaffold: scaffold3251, cultivar: Tokyo-kokei standard.